AGUGAACGCUGGCGGUAGGCCUAACACAUGCAAGUCGAACGGCAGCACAGUAAGAGCUUGCUCUUACGGGUGGCGAGUGGCGGACGGGUGAGGAAUACAUCGGAAUCUACUUUUUCGUGGGGGAUAACGUAGGGAAACUUACGCUAAUACCGCAUACGACCUACGGGUGAAAGCAGGGGAUCUUCGGACCUUGCGCGAUUGAAUGAGCCGCUGUCGGAUUAGCUAGUUGGCGGGGUAAAGGCCCACCAAGGCGACGAUCCGUAGCUGGUCUGAGAGGAUGAUCAGCCACACUGGAACUGAGACACGGUCCAGACUCCUACGGGAGGCAGCAGUGGGGAAUAUUGGACAAUGGGCGCAAGCCUGAUCCAGCCAUACCGCGUGGGUGAAGAAGGCCUUCGGGUUGUGAAGCCCUUUUGUUGGGAAAGAAAAGCAGCAGGUUAAUACGCCGCUGUUCUGACGGUACCCAAAGAAUAAGCACCGGCUAACUUCGUG
rnacentral:rRNA from 1 species